GACGAACGCUGGCGGCGUGCUUAACACAUGCAAGUCGAACGGAAAGGCCCUGCUUUUGUGGGGUGCUCGAGUGGCGAACGGGUGAGUAACACGUGAGUAACCUGCCCUUGACUUUGGGAUAACUUCAGGAAACUGGGGCUAAUACCGGAUAGGAGCUCCUGCUGCAUGGUGGGGGUUGGAAAGUUUCGGCGGUUGGGGAUGGACUCGCGGCUUAUCAGCUUGUUGGUGGGGUAGUGGCGUACCAAGGCUUUGACGGGUAGCCGGCCUGAGAGGGUGACCGGCCACAUUGGGACUGAGAUAGGGCCCAGACUCCUACGGGAGGCAGCAGUGGGGAAUAUUGCACAAUGGGCGGAAGCCUGAUGCAGCAACGCCGCGUGCGGGAUGACGGCCUUCGGGUUGUAAACCGCUUUCGCCUGUGACGAAGCGUGAGUGACGGUAAUGGGUAAAGAAGCACCGGCUAACUACGUG
rnacentral:rRNA from 1 species